GAUGUACGCUGGCGGCGUGCUUAACACAUGCAAGUCGAACGGAAAGGCCCAAGCUUGCUUGGGUACUCGAGUGGCGAACGGGUGAGUAACACGUGGGUGAUCUGCCCUGCACUUCGGGAUAAGCCUGGGAAACUGGGUCUAAUACCGGAUAGGACCACUUCUUGGAUGUUGUGGUGGAAAGUUUUUUCGGUGUGGGAUGAGCUCGCGGCCUAUCAGCUUGUUGGUGAGGUAAUGGCCUACCAAGGCGUCGACGGGUAGCCGGCCUGAGAGGGUGUACGGCCACAGUGGGACUGAGAUACGGCCCAGACUCCUACGGGAGGCAGCAGUGGGGAAUAUUGCACAAUGGGCGCAAGCCUGAUGCAGCGACGCCGCGGGGGGGAUGACGGCCUUCGGGUUGUAAACUCCUUUCGCUAGGGACGAAGCGUUUUGUGACGGUACCUGGAGAAGAAGCACCGGCUAACUACGUG
rnacentral:rRNA from 1 species